rnacentral:rRNA from 1 species
AUGUGCAAGUACGGAAAUUUCCUUCCCAAGUUUGAAAAAAUAGAUGGCAUUGUUGACUUGACAUCUCCUACGGCACACGCAUCAAAGACUUGGGACCAUACAAAGACAUGUUACUACCCAAUGAUAACACAGAACUAUGAGAAUGCUGAAAGCUCAUCACAAAAGAAUAAGAAGAGUUACUGGACAACACCAUUUAUUGGAAAGAGGUUUUUUACAGACGCGUUCAUUGAACAAGAUGAUCAAGAUGGGAACGAAUAUCAACCAAUCCCUGUCAAUGCUGAUUUACAAUUAUCUUCGGACGUUCAAAUUUUGGGGGAGAGAGUUUUCAAUGGUUCAUGCUCUAAUAUGGUAAACACAACAGACAAUCUGUACAACAACAAUCUUACAUUAGGCAAUUACUCAAGUGGCAAGGAAAAUCUGCCUCCCAAAAGGCUUGUACGCCCAAGCAAGUAUCAAUGCUCACCUUUCGAUCACGAUCUGAGAGGCCCUGUCACGACACUUGAGAAGCAGCUACACAAAAACAUUGUGACACUAAGCAAAUAUGAACCUAACAUAAGGGUAGUGCUUGUCGAUAAAACAAGCCUAUCCCUUGGACAACUCCGUGAUUCAUUCGACACCAACAGACGUGUGGAAGCCUAUGUUUUCAAUGUUUUCUGCCGGUUGCUCUUUCGAGACAGCCAUCCAAGGCAAUCAAAGAAGCACUACUUCUUCACUACUCUCGCUGAUUAUUUUCUUCAAGCAUGGUCCACUGAAGAAGGAAGGAUAUCAAUGAGAAGGAGAGCACUUAUAAGUUUUAGUGGAGCAGGAAGAGCAUUGCCUCUACAUGAAUGUGAACGUCUGUUUUUUUUUCAUCAGUACAUCGCGAGCACUGGAUUUUGUUUAUCGUUGAUAUUGUUACAAGAAAAUUCAUUUUCCUAG